rnacentral:rRNA from 1 species
UGCUUAACACAUGCAAGUCGUACGAGAAAUCCGCCUUCGGGUGGAGAGUAAAGUGGCGCACGGGUGAGUAACGCGUGGGUAAUCUACCCUCGAAUUGGGGAUAACAUGCCGAAAGGUGUGCUAAUACCGAAUAAGACCACAAUCACUUCGGUGAUUGGGGUCAAAGAUGGCCUCUGCUUGCAAGCUGUCGUUUGAGGAUGAGCCCGCGUACCAUUAGCUUGUUGGUGGGGUAAUGGCCUACCAAGGCGACGAUGGUUAGUUGGUCUGAGAGGAUGGCCAGCCACACUGGAACAGGAACACGGUCCAGACUCCUACGGGAGGCAGCAGUGAGGAAUUUUGCGCAAUGGGGGAAACCCUGACGCAGCAACGCCGCGUGAGUGAAGAAGGCCUUCGGGUUGUAAAGCUC